GCCAUAGAAAUGUAGUCAUCCGUUUUUUGACCAGUAAGCAUAUUCUGCAAUAUUCUUGAAUUCCUUCUUUGUUCAUUUCAGGAUAUAUGGUGAGAGAGCUACCUAUCCCAUAACAUUUUCUUCUUCUCUUUAACAUCAGAAUUGUAAUUUGAAUUUCUUUUAUGCAUAGUUCAAAACUUCUAAUGUUCUUCUAUUAUAUUUAUAUCCCAUAGCAUGGUGUUUUGUGAAAAGACAUAACUGUUUAAUGAACAUAUACUUACAGAUAAAGGACUCAAAUAACAUGAAAUUUUCUUUUGCAAGUUGCCCAUCUCACUAAGGUUCGCAUAUAUCAUAUAGAUCAUGAAAGCUAGUAUACUAUGUUCGUCUAAGACCAUCUCUAACAUUUAAUUAAUAAAAAUUAACCAAGAUCAUUUAAACUUCACUUAAUAACAAUUUAAUCAAUAAUAUUUUUCUUUAUCAUAAUAGCUAAAUAUUUCGAAAUCAUCUCAAUCUUAACAAAAUACCUUUAUUCCUAGUGUCUUACAUGUGUUGAUAUAAUCUCGGCCUAUUGCCGAAAUCUUGUUGGGCUUAUAAUAGCUUAUAUCAUGUUGGUCUUGUCGUCACUUCGGUAUGAAAAGAACAUUUCUCACAAAAUUAGAAGGUUUCCCAUCAUCUCAUGUCAAUGAUAAUGAAGAUUAAUAUUAUAAAGAGUUAGAAUUCUCUUUUUAUGUAGGAUUCCUGGUAUAUGCGAUUUAACCUUUUCCAGAUGAUGGGUUUUGAUUGUACUGGUUAAUGUCUAGGAGAUUCUAACCGAAACAUUUAAUAUCUAUUAGUAUCUAUUUGAUUAAUUGUCUUUCUCAUGGUUUGCAUUGUGAUUUUCAAGGAAAUCAUUUUCUCACUUCUUAAAUAUGAUUUGACUCUUAUUAUCGGGUGUGAAAGUGAAGAGACUAACAAUAUACAAAGUAUCAAGUCCAUUAAACCAAAGGUAGAAAAAACGACUCGGAUAAACUUGGUAUUUGUUUCGGUAUGGAUGUUUUUCGGUGUGUCUUUGUGCUUUCAAAUGUUCGGGACGCUCGUUUCUCUUCAAUUGUUGUCGUUCGCGCUCCUUCAGCUCGUAGCGCUCAUCCACUUUCACCAACGGAGGGGGAGGUACCUGCGAAGAUACUCCGACGCUCAAGUCAAACGUAUAUUACAGAAAGAGGCAAGGCGUGACUACCGAUGAUGGCAAGAUGUGGUGGACAGUGACACGAGUGUGAUGACGGCUGACGGAAAUCACGAGUGACUUAGAACAAAGCGUUGAGUGAAUAGCAAGGAGACGAAGAAAGAAUAUAAGCUUAUAUGGUUCAUUAUUGGGAAUUACUAUCACUGGGAAAUGAUUGAAGACAAGGACAUAAUGUCUCAAAUAAAUGAGUACCAUAAACUGCUCAAAGAUAUGAAAGCGGAGAACAUUCUUCUACCAGAUGAAUUUAUUACAAAACUUUUGAUCGAUAAAUUGCCACCUUUAAGAAGAAAGUAAAUUGUUUCGUAUAUGGAAAGUCGGACCAUCAUGCACUACAAUGCAGAUGUAGGACAAGAAACGAUAAUCCUCCUAGGGCAAAUAUAGUUGAAGGAGAUGACAUUAUUGUUGUGAUCGUUUCUCAAUAAAUCUGAUGACCAAUGUCAGCAAGUGGGUGAUAGAUUUUGGUGUUACCAGGCAUAUCUGUGCAAACAAAAGUGCCCUUACCUCUUACACUAGUGUAGGGGAUGGAGAAGAAUAUGUCUACCUCGAUGAUUCCAAGAUCACUCUUGUUCUAGAAAAGAGAAAGUUCUUCUCAAGCUCACAUCUGGAAAGACUCUGGCCUUUAGUGAUGUGCUACAUGUUCCAUCAAUCAAACUUAAUUUAAUCUUAGUAGCACUACUGGGAAAAGUGGGGGUUAAAGUGUCUUUCAAGUCUGACAAGAUUGUAAAGA